GAUGAACGCUGGCGGCGUUCCUAAUACAUGCAAGUCUAGCGAACAGACGAGGAGCUUGCUCCUCUGACGUUAGCGGCGGACGGGUGAGUAACACGUGGAUAACCUACCUAUAAGACUGGGAUAACUUCGGGAAACCGGAGCUAAUACCGGAUAAUAUAUUGAACCGCAUGGUUCAAUAGUGAAAGACGGUUUUGCUGUCACUUAUAGAUGGAUCCUCGCCGCAUUAGCUAGUUGGUAAGGUAACGGCUUACAAAGGCAACGAUGCGUAGCCGACCUGAGAGGGUGAUCGGACACACUGGAACUGAGAGACGGUCCAGACUCCUACGGGAGGCAGCAGUAGGGAAUCUUCAGCAAUGGGCGAAAGCCUGACGGAGCAAAGCCGCGUGAGUGAUGAAGGUAUGCGGAUCGUAAAACUCUGUUAUUAGGGAAGAACAAAUGUGUAAGUAACUAUGCACGUCUUGACGGUACCUAAUCAGAAAGCCACGGCUAACUACGUG
rnacentral:rRNA from 1 species